CCCUAAACCCACCCACAAAUGCAAACAAUGUUCAAACCACAAAGGCUAGAUAUGGCCUCUCUCAUCCUCAUCCUCCCAACUUCAUCGCCGACAACCCAACACCAACAAAAUCAAAUUCGCCACCUUUUUCCUGGCACCCCAUCAACUUGAACUCGCCUUUAUUUCAAAAAACAAAUUAUCUACUCCUAUGUAUGCAAAUUCAAAAACAAAAAAUCGAACAAAAAAAUUGAAAACAAAGAUGAAUUUAAUCCAGUACAUGAAUUUUCUCUUUGUGCCUAAAGUUGUAUCCGGUUAAAGAAGAGAGAGAAAGAGGGUAGAUGAGAUCUGGCUGGGGUGGCGGUGGGCAUCAGGGAGGAACAUGAGAACAUGAGCACGAGAUAGAUUGUGGCGAGAUUGUGGAGUCGGGGAUGGGUCUGGAGGGUGAGGGAAGAAUGAGAGACAUAAUAGAGAGGGGGAGGAGGUGGUUGGUAGUGGGUGGUGAGUGGUGGUGGAGGCGUGGGUGGUGGGGCGGUGUCGGUCCAAGCCCACCAUUGCUAUU
rnacentral:lncRNA from 1 species